rnacentral:lncRNA from 1 species
UGUUGAUAGUGAUAAUGAGAAUUAUGAUGGUACAUGUAAUACUUUCUAAUUUUGUUGUACAUGCGAAUACUUUAUAAUUUUGUAAUACAUGUCAUACUUUAUUUAUUAUGAAUGUAUAUCUAAUUGCUUCUUUAUUCCUUUGAACUGCAGGUCACUGAACGAAGAUGGUGGGCGGCCGUCAGAGGAGCGUGGCGUCGCUCUUCCGAAGGACGCGUCCUGUAGUUGAAGAGGAGGUUCCAGAGCUGUCUCAGAGGAGGCGUGGACGCAGGAGCCGCCAGUCGACGCCUCCUCCUUCUGUGACGCCUCCAGUAGAGGAGGAGGAGGAGG